UACGGGGGGAGCAAGCGUUGUCCGGAAUUAUUGGGCGUAAAGAGCUCGUAGGCGGUCUGUUGCGUCCGCUGUGAAAACUCGGGGCUUAACCCCGAGCCUGCAGUGGAUACGGGCAGACUAGAGGUAGGUAGGGGAGAAUGGAAUUCCCGGUGUAGCGGUGAAAUGCGCAGAUAUCAGGAGGAACACCAAUGGCGAAGGCAGCUCGCUGGGACGGUACUGACGCUGAGACGCGAAAGCGUGGGGAGCAAACAGG
rnacentral:rRNA from 1 species